rnacentral:rRNA from 1 species
UACAGAGGGUGCAAGCGUUGUCCGGAUUUAUUGGGCGUAAAGAGUUCGUAGGCUUUUCGUUAAGUCAUCUUUCAAAGACCAGAGCUCAACUUUGGGAAGGGGGAUGAUACUGGCGGAAUUGAAAAGUUUCGGGUUACUGGAACUGUCGGUGUAGGAGUGAAAUCCGUUGAUAUCGACAGGAACACCAAGGGCGAAGGCGGGUAACUAGGAACAUUUUGACGCUGAGGGACGAAAGCUAGGGGAGCGAAAGGG